CGGUUUGCCUCCGGUCGGACGUUUAAAGCUGCCACGACGCGGAGAGCCGCCAGCUUGGCCACCUAAAACACAGUUUGGAAUGGAAGUGAGUGAAUUAAAGGCCAACAAUAUGGUGGAUAAGAGAAGAAAUUAUUUCGCAUUUCGUCCAGACAAAAAUUUUGAAUGAACAUCAAUUAAGUAAAACCAUAAAUAAAUUUAAAUGAAAAACUAAA